rnacentral:rRNA from 1 species
AUUGAACGCUGGCGGCAGGCUUGACACAUGCAAGUCGAGCGGGGGAAGGUAGCUUGCUACUGGACCUAGCGGCGGACGGGUGAGUAAUGCUUAGGAAUCUGCCUAUUAGUGGGGGACAACAUCUCGAAAGGGAUGCUAAUACCGCAUACGUCCUACGGGAGAAAGCAGGGGAUCUUCGGACCUUGCGCUAAUAGAUGAGCCUAAGUCGGAUUAGCUAGUUGGUGGGGUAAAGGCCUACCGAGGCGACGAUCUGUAGCGGGUCUGAGAGGAUGAUCCGCCACACUGGGACUGAGACACGGCCCAGACUCCUACGGGAGGCAGCAGUGGGGAAUAUUGGACAAUGGGGGGAACCCUGAUCCAGCCAUGCCGCGUGUGUGAAGAAGGCCUUAUGGUUGUAAAGCACUUUAAGCGAGGAGGAGGCUACUCUAGUUAGUACCUAGGGAUAGUGGACGUUACUCGCAGAAUAAGCACCGGCUAACUCUGUGCCAGCAGCCGCAGUAA